rnacentral:rRNA from 1 species
GACGAACGCUGGCGGCGUGCUUAACACAUGCAAGUCGAACGGAAAGGCCCCCUUGUGGGGUACUCGAGUGGCGAACGGGUGAGUAACACGUGAGUAACCUACCCUUGACUUUGGGAUAACUUCAGGAAACUGGGGCUAAUACCGGAUAGGAGCUCCUGCUGCAUGGUGGGGGUUGGAAAGUUUCGGCGGUUGGGGAUGGACUCGCGGCUUAUCAGCUUGUUGGUGGGGUAGUGGCUCACCAAGGCUUUGACGGGUAGCCGGCCUGAGAGGGUGACGGGCCACAUUGGGACUGAGAUACGGCCCAGACUCCUACGGGAGGCAGCAGUGGGGAAUAUUGCACAAUGGGCGGAAGCCUGAUGCAGCAACGCCGCGUGCGGGAUGACGGCCUUCGGGUUGUAAACCGCUUUCGCCUGUGACGAAGCGUGAGUGACGGUAAUGGGUAAAGAAGCACCGGCUAACUACGUG